UACGGAGGGGGCUAGCGUUGUUCGGAAUUACUGGGCGUAAAGCGCACGUAGGCGGCUUGAAAAGUUGGGGGUGAAAGCCCGGAGCUCAACUCCGGAAUUGCCUUCAAAACUCUUAAGCUAGAGUUCGGAAGAGGAGAGUGGAAUUCCCAGUGUAGAGGUGAAAUUCGUAGAUAUUCGGAAGAACACCAGUGGCGAAGGCGACUCGCUGGACAAGUAUUGACGCUGAGGUGCGAAAGCGUGGGGAGCAAACAGGAUUAG
rnacentral:rRNA from 1 species